rnacentral:rRNA from 1 species
UGGCUCAGGACGAACGCUGGCGGCGUGCUUAACACAUGCAAGUCGAACGCUGAAGCCCGCAGCUUGCUGUGGGUGGAUGAGUGGCGAACGGGUGAGUAACACGUGAGUAACCUGCCCUUCACUCUGGGAUAAGCGCUGGAAACGGCGUCUAAUACCGGAUACGACCAGUCCUCGCAUGGGGUGCUGGUGGAAAGCUCCGGCGGUGAAGGAUGGACUCGCGGCCUAUCAGCUUGUUGGUGGGGUAAUGGCCUACCAAGGCGACGACGGGUAGCCGGCCUGAGAGGGCGACCGGCCACACUGGGACUGAGACACGGCCCAGACUCCUACGGGAGGCAGCAGUGGGGAAUAUUGCACAAUGGGCGCAAGCCUGAUGCAGCGACGCCGCGUGAGGGAUGACGGCCUUCGGGUUGUAAACCUCUUUCAGUUGGGACGAAGCCAGCUUGCUGGUGACGGUACCUUCAGAAGAAGCACCGGCUAACUACGUGCCAGCAGCCGCGGUAAUACGUAGGGUGCAAGCGUUGUCCGGAAUUAUUGGGCGUAAAGAGCUCGUAGGUGGUUUGUCGCGUCUGCUGUGAAAACUUCCCGCUCAACGGGGGGCCUGCAGUGGGUACGGGCAGACUAGAGUGCAGUAGAGGAGUCUGGAAUUCCUGGUGUAGCGGUGGAAUGCGCAGAUAUCAGGAGGAACACCGGUGGCGAAAGGCGGGACUCUGGGCUGUUACUGACGCUGAGGAGCGAAAGCAUGGGGAGCGAACAGGAUUAGAUACCCUGGUAGUCCAUGCCGUAAACGUUGGGCACUAGGUGUGGGGUCCAUUCCACGGAUUCCGUGCCGUAGCUAACGCAUUAAGUGCCCCGCCUGGGGAGUACGGCCGCAAGGCUAAAACUCAAAGGAAUUGACGGGGGCCCGCACAAGCGGCGGAGCAUGCGGAUUAAUUCGAUGCAACGCGAAGAACCUUACCAAGGCUUGACAUACACCGGUAACGGCCAGAGAUGGUCGCCCCCUUGUGGUCGGUGUACAGGUGGUGCAUGGUUGUCGUCAGCUCGUGUCGUGAGAUGUUGGGUUAAGUCCCGCAACGAGCGCAACCCUCGUCCUAUGUUGCCAGCACGUGAUGGUGGGAACUCAUGGGAGACUGCCGGGGUCAACUCGGAGGAAGGUGGGGAUGACGUCAAAUCAUCAUGCCCCUUAUGUCUUGGGCUUCACGCAUGCUACAAUGGCCGGUACAAAGGGCUGCGAUACCGCGAGGUGGAGCGAAUCCCAGAAAGCCGGUCUCAGUUCGGAUCGUAGUCUGCAACUCGACUACGUGAAGUCGGAGUCGCUAGUAAUCGCAGAUCAGCAAUGCUGCGGUGAAUACGUUCCCGGGCCUUGUACACACCGCCCGUCAAGUCACGAAAGUUGGUAACACCCGAAGCCGGUGGCCUAACCCCCUUGUGGGGAGGGAGCUGUCGAAGGUGGGACUGGCGAUUGGGACUAAGUCGUA